rnacentral:rRNA from 1 species
UACAGAGGUCUCGAGCGUUGUUCGGAUUCAUUGGGCGUAAAGGGUGCGUAGGUGGCUUGGUCAGUCGGAUGUGAAAUCCCGGGGCUCAACCCCGGAACUGCAUUCGAUACUGCCAGGCUGGAGUACUGGAGAGGAGAUUGGAAUUUACGGUGUAGCAGUGAAAUUCGUAGAUAUUCGCAAGAACACCAGUGGCGAAGGCGGCUCACUGGCCCGGUACUGACGCUGAGGUGCGAAAGCGUGGGGAGCAAACAGG